rnacentral:rRNA from 1 species
GACGAACGCUGGCGGCGUGCUUAACACAUGCAAGUCGAACGGAAAGGCCCUGCUUUUGUGGGGUGCUCGAGUGGCGAACGGGUGAGUAACACGUGAGUAACCUGCCCUUGACUUUGGGAUAACUUCAGGAAACUGGGGCUACUACCGGAUAGGAGCUCCUGCUGCAUGGUGGGGGUUGGAAAGUUUCGGCGGUUGGGGAUGGACUCGCGGCUUAUCAGCUUGUUGGUGGGGUAGUGGCUUACCAAGGCUUUGACGGGUAGCCGGCCUGAGAGGGUGACCGGCCACAUUGGGACUGAGAUACGGCCCAGAGUCCUACGGGAGGCAGCAGUGGGGAAUAUUGAACAAUGGGCGGAAGCCUGAUGCAGCAACGCCGCGUGCGGGAUGACGGCCUUCGGGUUGUAAACCGCUUUCGCCUGUGACGAAGCGUGAGUGACGGUAAUGGGUAAAGAAGCAACGGCUAACUACGUG